AUUGAACGCUGGCGGCAUGCCUUACACAUGCAAAUCGAACGGUAACAGGUCUUCGGAUGCUGACGAGUGGCGAACGGGUGAGUAAUACAUCGGAACGUGCCUAGUAGUGGGGGAUAACUACUCGAAAGAGUGGCUAAUACCGCAUGAGAUCUACGGAUGAAAGCAGGGGAUCGCAAGGCCUUGUGCUACUAGAGCGGCCGAUGGCAGAUUAGGUAGUUGGUGGGAUAAAAGCUUACCAAGCCGACGAUCUGUAGCUGGUCUGAGAGGACGAUCAGCCACACUGGGACUGAGACACGGCCCAGACUCCUACGGGAGGCAGCAGUGGGGAAUUUUGGACAAUGGGCGCAAGCCUGAUCCAGCAAUGCCGCGUGCAGGAUGAAGGCCUUCGGGUUGUAAACUGCUUUUGUACGGAACGAAAAGCCCUGGGUUAAUACCCUGGGGUCAUGACGGUACCGUAAGAAUAAGCACCGGCUAACUACGUGCCAGCCGCCGCCGUAAGAC
rnacentral:rRNA from 1 species